rnacentral:snRNA from 1 species
GUGCUUGCUUUGGCACCGCAUGUACUAAAACUGGAAGGAUAUAGCAUGGCCCCUGUGCAAGGAUGACUUGCUAAUUCUUGAAGCACUCCAUAUUUUU